GUCGGCGUGGCGCAAUGGUAGCGCGUUGGACUUCUACAUACGCAGUGUGAGACAUCCAAAGGCUGUGGGUUCGAGCCCCACCGUCGAUG
rnacentral:tRNA from 1 species